rnacentral:rRNA from 1 species
UACGUAGGGUGCGAGCGUUAAUCGGAAUUACUGGGCGUAAAGCGUGCGCAGGCGGUUUUGUAAGACAGGCGUGAAAUCCCCGGGCUCAACCUGGGAAUGGCGCUUGUGACUGCAAAGCUGGAGUGCGGCAGAGGGGGAUGGGAAUUCCGCGUGUAGCAGUGAAAUGCGUAGAUAUGCGGAGGAACACCGAUGGCGAAGGCAAU